rnacentral:rRNA from 1 species
UACAGAGGUGGCAAGCGUUGUUCGGAAUUACUGGGCGUAAAGGGCGCGUAGGCGGUCUCGUAAGUCCCGCGUGAAAUCCCCCGGCUCAACUGGGGAAUGGCGCGGGAAACUGUGAGGCUUGAGUUCGGGAGAGGGAAGCGGAAUUCCGGGUGUAGCGGUGAAAUGCGUAGAUAUCCGGAGGAACACCGGUGGCGAAGGCGGCUUCCUGGACCGACACUGACGCUGAGGCGCGAAAGCUAGGGGAGCAAACAGG